rfam:Medicago truncatula strain A17 chromosome 4, whole genome shotgun sequence.
UGGUGUUGAGUAGAGUUGUAUGGAACGAAAGAUGGGAAUUUCUUGUUGAAUUCUAUUCAUUCAAUUUUCCCUCCCUCGUUCCAUACAUCAUCUAGCCAAUACUGU